rnacentral:rRNA from 1 species
UAGGGAAUCUUCGGCAAUGGACGAAAGUCUGACCGAGCAACGCCGCGUGAGUGAAGAAGGUUUUCGGAUCGUAAAACUCUGUUGUUAGAGAAGAACAAGGACGUUAGUAACUGAACGUCCCCUGACGGUAUCUAACCAGAAAGCCACGGCUAACUACGUGCCAGCAGCCGCGGUAAUACGUAGGUGGCAAGCGUUGUCCGGAUUUAUUGGGCGUAAAGCGAGCGCAGGCGGUUUCUUAAGUCUGAUGUGAAAGCCCCCGGCUCAACCGGGGAGGGUCAUUGGAAACUGGGGGACUUGAGUGCAGAAGAGGAGAGUGGAAUUCCAUGUGUAGCGGUGAAAUGCGUAGAUAUAUGGAGGAACACCAGUGGCGAAGGCGGCUCUCUGGUCUGUACCUGACGCUGAGGCUCGAAAGCGUGGGGAGCAAACAGG